rnacentral:rRNA from 1 species
CAAUAGCGUAUAUUUAAGUUGUUGCAGUUAAAAGCUCGUAGUUGGAUUUCGGUUGAGAACGGCCGGUCCGCCGUUUGGUGUGCACUGGCUGGUCUCAACUUCCUGUAGAGGACGCGCUCUGGGUUAACGCUCGGACGCGGAGUCUACGUGGUUACUUUGAAAAAUUAGAGUGUUCAAAGCAGGCGUGUCGCCUGAAUAAUGGUGCAUGGAAUGAUGGAAUAGGACCUCGGUUCUAUUUUGUUGGUUUUCGGAGCUCGAGGUAAUGAUUAAGAGGGACUGACGGGGGCAUUCGUAUUGCGGUGUUAGAGGUGAAAUUCUUGGAUCAUCGCAAGACGAACUACAGCGAAAGCAUUUGCCAAGCAUGUUUUCAUUAAUCAAGAACGAAAGUUGGAGGCUCGAAGACGAUCAGAUACCAU